AUUGAACGCUGGCGGCAUGCUUUACACAUGCAAGUCGAACGGUAACAGGUUAAGCUGACGAGUGGCGAACGGGUGAGUAAUGCAUCGGAACGUGCCCGAUCGUGGGGGAUAACGCAGCGAAAGCUGCGCUAAUACCGCAUACGAUCUGAGGAUGAAAGCGGGGGACCGUAAGGCCUCGCGCGAUCGGAGCGGCCGAUGUCAGAUUAGGUAGUGGGGGGGGAAAAGGCUCACCAAGCCAACGAUCUGUAGCUGGUCUGAGAGGACGACCAGCCACGCUGGGACUGGGACACGGCCCAGACUCCUAGGGGAGGCAGAAGGGGGGAAUUUUGGAAAAUGGGCAAAACCCUGAUCCAGAAUUGCCGCGUGCAGAAAGAAGCCCUUCGGGUUGUAAACUGCUUUUGUACGGAGCGAAAAGUUUCUCUCUAAUACAGAGGGCUCAUGACGGUACCGUAAGAAUAAGCACCGGCUAACUACGUGCCAGCAGCCGCGGUAA
rnacentral:rRNA from 1 species